rnacentral:rRNA from 1 species
GACGAACGCUGGCGGCGCGCUUAAUACAUGCAAGUCGAGCGAGAACCAGGGCUUCGGCCCUGGGGACAGCGGCGAACGGGUGAGUAACACGUGGGUAAUCAACCCCCGACACCGGGAUAGCCCAGGGAAACUUGGAUUAAUACCGGAUGCCCCGUCUGGCCUUCGGGCCGGCCGGAAAAGGGUAGCUUCGGCCUCUGGUCGGGGACGAGCCCGCGGCGGAUUAGCUUGUUGGUGAGGUAAAGGCUCACCAAGGCGACGAUCUGUAGCUGGUCUGAGAGGACGAUCAGCCACACUGGGACUGAGACACGGCCCAGACUCCUACGGGAGGCAGCAGUAGGGAAUCUUGCGCAAUGGGCGAAAGCCUGACGCAGCGACGCCGCGUGAGGGAAGAAGGCCUUCGGGUUGUAAACCUCUUUCAGGAGGGACGAAGCCACUCGGGUUAAUAGCCUAGAGGGUGACGGUACCUCCAGAAGAAGCCCCGGCUAACUACGUGCCAGCAGCCGCAGUAA